AACGAACGCUGGCGGCAUGCCUAACACAUGCAAGUCGAACGAGACCUUCGGGUCUAGUGGCGCACGGGUGCGUAACGCGUGGGAACCUGCCCUUAGGUUCGGAAUAACUCCCCGAAAGGGGUGCUAAUACCGGAUAAUGUCUUCGGACCAAAGAUUUAUCGCCUUUGGAUGGGCCCGCGUUGGAUUAGCUAGUUGGUAGGGUAAAAGCCUACCAAGGCGACGAUCCAUAGCUGGUCUGAGAGGAUGAUCAGCCACACUGGGACUGAGACACGGCCCAGACUCCUACGAGAGGCAGCAGUGGGGAAUAUUGGACAAUGGGCGAAAGCCUGAUCCAGCAAUGCCGCGUGAGUGAUGAAGGCCGUAGGGUUGUAAAGCUCUUUUACCCGGGAUGAUAAUGACAGUACCGGGAGAAUAAGCUCCGGCUAACUCCGUG
rnacentral:rRNA from 1 species